UGUGAGGGUGUUUGGAUGUGGGUGUGUGCAUUACAAGAACCUGGACGAGAUAGACACUUAUCCCAGCAGUAAGCAAAUAGGUAAGUCAGACUGAAACAUAUAGGGAACUAUCAGUCAUUAAAACCUCAGUCACUGAUGCUUGAUGCACUUGCUGUCUGAUUUUCCAAAGUUUUGUAUAGAUUUCCUAUUUUUCUUUUCAUUUAUUUAUUUACUUUUCCCUUUAUUUCUCCAUAUCUGUUUGGAUACUUUCCUACUGCAUGUUUGAGUGUUUGACGUAUCUUCCAGGGACCAAUUUCAUUUCGCACGUAUUUUCUCUUGGUUUCUUCUUGUCCGUUCAUAUUAUUGCCUGCUUUUCAGUUUAGUUAUUUUUCUCAUCUUCUUUUGUUCCCAUGUUUAUCCAGAAAUUGAUUUUAUGUUCAUCCUUCGAUGCUGGUUUCAACUCGUAAGUUUUGCCUGUGUGAUGACUCACUUCCUGGAUCGUGGGACACGGAUGGGUGGAUUUUUCAAGCCCUGCCGUGGGCAGCCCAAAGAAACCAAGAAGUAGUGUGCGCGGUCCCUGGGGUGAAUGAAGAAGGAGAAGCGUCUGCUAAAGGGAGAAGAGGCUUCUCUGGUGGCACAGUGGUUGAGAAUCCACUUGCCAAUGCAGGGGACACCGGUUCGAGCCCUGGUCCGGGAAGAAGUUGCAGGGCAACUAAGCCCACGCACCACAACUAUCAUUGAGAAAGUUUUCCAUAGGAUUCUCACCUUUGCUACAUGGUAAACCUCUACUGGUUCAGCGUUUCCAACCUUUUGGGAUCCAGUCGAUUGUGGAAGAGUUAAGCUGACACGAAACGAAGCACAGAGAAAUGGAACAUGACUGCUGGGAUGUAGAUGAUGAUGACAGCCCUGCAUAUGUUUUCUCGCUUUCAGAAUUAGUAUAUAUCCUCAGCAGUGCUGACUCUGUAUUUAUACUUCUUAAAUUAGCUCAGGAGCAACUGCACGGCUCCCAGCAAGAAUCCCUGAUGCAAUUGGAAUGGAAUUAGAAACCAAAAUGGGCACCAUGGCAGCUUUCCCUCUAUAACACUGAAAUUUCUCUUCUGUUUCUCUUUUUUAUUUGUUACUUAUUUUAACUUUAUAUUUCUUUCAUGAUAUAGUUUUCUCAAACUUUAUAGUGAAAUUGUCACUCUAGAAAGACGUUAAUAUUUUUCUUGGAACUUCUGAUCCCAGCAAACCAGGGCCCUCUUACCUCAAUCAAGAUCAACAUCAGGGUCCACCUGAGAGGGGAGCCCUGCAGUCUGAAGCAUGGGGUAAGAUUGCCUGUAUCUUUAGGCUCCAUUUCAUCACUAGAAAAAUGAGGGUUUUGAGUAGGUCAUCCCUCAAAACUCUGUUUAAUAAAACUGUUAAAGAGUAGGAUUAUACUGACAUGUAUAACUUGUUUUCACUUUAAUACACUCUUGUAUGCCAAAAUAUUGCCCUAAGUCAUCAGUGAAAUGACAUUUAAAAUUCCCAAACCAAUGGGAGGGAGCCAUCUUGUGGUUUAGGCCCAGCGCAGCUUACAUUUAGAAGAGAAAAGAAUGUGAAACCUUUGAAAAUGUAAUAUUAUAUAUAACAUUAUAUAUAAUAUAAUAAAUAUAAUAAUAAAUGAUAGAUAGUUUAUGAAUGUGAUCUAAAGUCUUAACUUACAGGUAAUUAAAAAAACCCUUCAAUUCUGGGUAUGAGUAAUUGUUCUUUAGACAAUUCUGGGAACUUGUUUGAAACUAAGGGUAUAUAGCACAUACCACGUUGUGAUUUAUUUUCUUAUUUAAUGAAGAUGUUUCAGUAGGUACUGAGUUAGUAGUUGUAAUGCUUACUGAAGAUGCCAAAGGGGUUUGGCCCAUCUCACUUAGGAAGUAAUGCAGAAGACAGAAUAAUGAUAUGAAAAAGACAAUUGCAUAUUACCUUUAUAUUCUGUAAUUACUUUUCUGAGUCAUAAGAAUCAAACAUUGAUCUCUAGAAUCAAACAUUAACUCUCUAAUUGAUCAAUUAGAGAGUUAAACAUGCCGAUAAUGGCAUGUGAGAUCGCCAUAUUUUGUUGCUUAAUAAUACAAUAUAUAACACAUACUAAAAGGUAUGCAUGUUUAGCAUAAAUAACACCAAUGUAGCAGUUAAUAAAAAUAUGAUAAUAAUAUUAAAUACUAUCACAUUAAUAUUACUUUUUAAAGUUUCCUUUUAGAAACUAAUUUAUAUUGUUAGGUAAAUAAGUCGUAUGAACAUAUUUUCCCUAGGUGCAUUUCUUUAUAUAAAUAAAACAACUUUUUUCAUUUAUCCCAAUAUUUUCAGUAGUUAACUUUCACAGACAAUAUGCAAAAAGACAUUUCUAACAUAAGCAAUUCAGCAUCAGUAAAUGGGUGCUGACUUUUCAGAUUCAAAGUAAAUUACAGAGAAUAUAUUAUUUCCAUUUAUUUCUCAUUCUUCCUCUUUUUCAUGUAACAUGGAUAAAAACUGAAUCAAUAACCUGAAUUGCAAAAAUAUUUUAACUUGCUAUAUGCAACACAUCAAUUUAAAUUCCGUAAUUUUAGAAAAGGUUGAGUCUUGUAUAGAGAUUAAUGAUUGCUCAGAAAUGGUACUCACAUAAAGUGUGCAUAAAAUAAGCCUCUUGUCCACGACACAUGGUUCCUGCAGAUGUUCUUUUCUCCUUUGCUUUGCUUCUGAAGGUGUAGGAAGCUUUCCUAUUUGCCGCCCCUUGCAGGAGGGACUCAGAAAGAUUUGUUGGUGGUAAUGACGGGAACAAAGGAAGAGCCCAGAGAUAAUAUCUCCAGGUAGACUUCUGGUGCCCAUUCUGGUGUUUAUUAAAUACACUGUAAUAGAUUAAAACUAUAUUUCUUUCAAGGGGUUUAAUAAUCCAUUAUCAACCUUCUAUCAGCAACUUUCUGGUAACUAAAAAAAAAUAAAUCUAUGCUUUUGGAUUUUCUACUCUGUUUCAAAUAAUUUGGAAAUUUGAAAAAAAUCCACUUUGUUUCCUAUUUAUAUUUCAUUCCAUGUUUUUUUGGUUAGUCACUUAGCAAAUACAAGGCUACACUUUGAAUGAUCUUGCAUAGAACAAGUAUUUCAAGCUAGGUCAAUCUGUAUGAAAUUACUUUUUGGAAGAAAUGUAACUGUUUCAAA